rnacentral:rRNA from 1 species
CGUUGACCUCGGAUCAGGUAGGAAUACCCGCUGAACUUAAGCAUUUAAGGGGGGGGAAAGGAAAAA